AUCGCUCUUUAGUAUUGAAGUUUCAGAUUAUUCAAGGUACUCUGGGCAAAUUUAGCAUGGGAAUCAUCUAUGUGCUGGGGCUAUAGACUAGGUCAAAGGAGACUGUCAUGUAAAACAAAAAGUAUGGAUCUGGAGACGAGGAGAUUAUUGGGAGUCCAGGAAAUUCUUCUGUUGAAAUCCAUUUCUUUUGAAUAUUGGCGAACAGACACCGUCUACUCUUAUUUCAGUUGCUCUCUCUAGUUCACUGCAUAGACGACAUACUGGUUAGUUAACAACUUCAAAAUCUCAAUGGCUUACAAUUAAAAUAACGGUUUUCGUGUUCACCAGUCUGCAAGUAGAUUGUAGUGCAGUUUUGUGGGCUGGGAGAUUUUUUUUUUUAGGCUGCAGGUCUGUUGGGCUUAGCUGCAGGCUGUUGGCUAACUCCACAUCUAUUCCCAAUGUAUUUCGGUAUUUCAUCCUCCUUGGACUCCUCACCAUCCAGGGAAUGUCCUCAUGGUGAAGGGUUGGUGCACAAGCCAAAUCACACAAGCAUAUUUCAAGUCUCUGCUCACAACAUUUACUAACAUUCCAUUUACCAAAUCAAGUCACAUGUCAAGCCCAACAUCAACGGCAUGAGGAAGAAUGCAAAGUUACUGACAAAAGGCAUGGGAAUGUAAGGUGAAACUACAGGGAACUGCUGAUAUUUGACCAUUUUUACUUAAUCAAAAAUGAAAAUUUUAUAUAGCUUGACCUUAUAUUCCAAUUACCCAAGGAAAUGAAGAAUUAGAUAAUCUUCAUUUAAUUCAACCUACCACAGAUGGCUUCCAUUUAACAUACUGACUUUCACAACCAGUGUGUUCGUUUUUAAGAUGCUAAAACCUUAAUAUCUUUGAUUGGGUUAUAAUACAGCUACCUGCGACUUUGUGGACUCUAUCUUUUUAAAAAAUAUACAAUUUAGUAGUUGUUAGUGUAUUCAUAGAGUUGUGCAAUCACCACCAAAUCUAAUUUCAGAACAAUUUUAUCAUUCCAAAGAGAAACCUGUACCUGUUAGCAGUCAUUCUAUAUUUCCCCUCUCCCUAGUCCCUGGAAACCAAUAAUCUUUUUCUGUCUCUAAGCACUUGCCUGUUCUGAACAUUUCAUACAAAUAAAACCAUACAAUAUAAUAUUUUGUGACAGGUUUCUUUCACUUAGCAUAAUGCUUCCAGGUUCAUUUAAGUUGUAGACCAUCAGUAUUAAACUCCUUUUUAUGGUCAAAUAACCCAUUGAAUGCAUAUAUAGCAUGUUUUUUUUAACCAUUUGCUGGAUGUUUGUGUUGAUUCCAUUUUUGGCUACUAUGAAUUAUGAACGUGUACGCACACGUUUAUAAACGUGUUUUUCUGGGUACAUAAGUUUUCAAUCCUCUUUGAUAUAUACGUAGUAGGAUUUCUGGGUUGUGUGGUAAUUCUAUGUUUAACAUCUUGAGUAACUGCCCCAAACUCUUUUCCAAAGUGGCUGCAGCAUUUUACAAUCCCACCUGCUAUGUAUGAGUUUUCCAAUUUCUCCACAUCCUUACCAACAUGUGUUGUUGUCUGUCUUUUUAAUUUAGCCAACCUAACGGGUGUGAAGUGGUGAAGUCUUAUUAUGGUUUUAACUCACAUUUCCCUAAUGACUAAUGACUUAGAGGUUUUUUUAUUGCGGUUAUUGGCCAUUUAUAUAUCUUCU
rnacentral:lncRNA from 1 species